rnacentral:rRNA from 1 species
UACGUAGGUGGCAAGCGUUGUCCGGAUUUACUGGGUGUAAAGGGCGCGUAGGCGGGGAGACAAGUCAGAUGUGAAAUCUAUGGGCUUAACCCAUAAACUGCAUUUGAAACUAUCUCUCUUGAGUGAUGGAGAGGCAAGCGGAAUUCCUAGUGUAGCGGUGAAAUGCGUAGAUAUUAGGAGGAACACCAGUGGCGAAGGCGGCUUGCUGGACAUUAACUGACGCUGAGGCGCGAAAGCGUGGGGAGCAAACAGG